CAAUAGCGUAUAUUAAAGUUGUUGCAGUUAAAAAGCUCGUAGUUGGAUUUCUGGUUGGAGCGACCGGUCGGGCAUUGAUUUGUCUGCACUGGAGUCGGUUCUGGCCAUCCUCUUGGAAAGUGCGUCUGUCAUUAAGUUGUCGGGCGUAUGAUCCAGGUCUUUUACUGUGAAAAAAUUAGAGUGUUUAAAGCAGGCCUUCGCCUUGAAUACAUUAGCAUGGAAUAAUAAGAUAGGACUUUGGUCUAUUUUGUUGGUUUGCAGACCGAAGUAAUGAUUAAUAGGGAUAGUUGGGGGUAUUUAUAUUCCAAUGUCAGAGGUGAAAUUCUUAGAUUUUUGGAAGAUAAACUUAUGCGAANGNAUUUAGNAAGGAUGUUUNCAUUA
rnacentral:rRNA from 1 species